rnacentral:rRNA from 1 species
CGGGUGAGUAAUGUAUGGGGAUCUGCCUGAUGGCGGGGGAUAACUACUGGAAACGGUAGCUAAUACCGCAUAACGUCGCAAGACCAAAGAGGGGGACCUUAGGGCCUCUUGCCAUCGGAUGUGCCCAGAUGGGAUUAGCUAGUAGGUGGGGUAAUGGCUCACCUAGGCGACGAUCCCUAGCUGGUCUGAGAGGAUGACCAGCCACACUGGAACUGAGACACGGUCCAG